UACAGAGGUGGCAAGCGUUGUUCGGAAUUACUGGGCGUAAAGGGCGCGUAGGCGGCCUUCUAAGUCAGACGUGAAAUCCCCGGCUUAACCUGGGAACUGCGUCUGAUACUGGGAGGCUUGAGUAUGGGAGAGGGAUGUAGAAUUCCAGGUGUAGCGGUGAAAUGCGUAGAUAUCUGGAGGAAUACCGGUGGCGAAGGCGGCAUCCUGGACCAUUACUGACGCUGAGGCGCGAAAGCUAGGGGAGCAAACGGG
rnacentral:rRNA from 1 species